rnacentral:rRNA from 1 species
UCAGACGAUGCGUCAUGCAUAUCAAUAAGCGGAGGAAAAGAAACUAACAAGGAUUCCCCUAGUAACGGCGAGUGAAGCGGGAAGAGCUCAAAUUUGAAAUCUUAAAGGGUUUCCCUUUACGAAUUGUAGUUUAAAGAAGUGUUUUCUGUUGAGGUUUUGGUAAAAGUUCUUUGGAAUAGGACAUCAUAGAGGGUGAGAAUCCCGUAUUUGACCUUUACUUUCAACUUUGUGAUACACUUUCAAAGAGUCGGAUUGUUUGGGAAUGCAGUCCAAAAUGGGUGGUAAAUUUCAUCUAAAGCUAAAUAUUGGCGAGAGACCGAUAGCGAACAAGUACCGUGAGGGAAAGAUGAAAAGAACUUUGAAAAGAGAGUUAAACAGUACGUGAAAUUGUCAAAAGGGAAGCGUUUGACACCAGUGUUGUUUUUCUGAAUAUCAAUUAAAGAACUGUUUAUGCUAAGUUGUUUAGACUUUAUCAGCUAACUGUUUAGUUUUGAGCUUUUCUUUAUGCACUUUUCAGUUAACAAGUCAACAUCAAUUUCUUUUGCUGUAAAAAAGCUUAAGGAAGGUGGCUUGAGAUUCGUCUUAAGUGUUUAUAGCCUCUUGCCUAUGCAGUCGGAGAGAUUGAGGUCUGCAGCGUAGAUCCUUCGGGGCUAAAUGCAUUUGUGCUAAGUUAUAGCAUUUUAUAGACAACUUGUUGACUAUGAUUUGUCUUGUAGCUUACUCGCUUAUGUUAUUUUACCUACGCUUAGGAUGUUGAGCGCAUGUCUCUCUCU